CUUUCAGGGCAAGUUAAAGUGUUUAGAGCUCUUUAUACGUUUGAACCCAGAACUCCAGAUGAAUUGUAUUUUGAAGAAGGUGAUAUUAUCUACAUUACUGACAUGAGUGACAGCAAUUGGUGGAAGGGUACCUGCAAAGGCAGGACUGGACUGAUCCCAAGCAACUAUGUGGCCGAGCAGGCAGAAUCCAUUGACAACCCAUUGCAUGAAGCUGCAAAAAGAGGUAGGUGUGAUUCUUUUCGA